AGCGAACGCUGGCGGCAGGCCUAACACAUGCAAGUCGAACGAAGUCUUCGGACUUAGUGGCGGACGGGUGAGUAACACGUGGGAACGUACCUUUUGGUUCGGAACAACUCAGGGAAACUUGAGCUAAUACCGGAUGAGCCCUUAGGGGGAAAGAUUUAUCGCCGAAAGAGCGGCCCGCGUUAGAUUAGCUAGUUGGUGAGGUAAAGGCUCACCAAGGCUACGAUCUAUAGCUGGUCUGAGAGGAUGAUCAGCCACACUGGGACUGAGACACGGCCCAGACUCCUACGGGAGGCAGCAGUGGGGAAUCUUGCGCAAUGGGCGAAAGCCUGACGCAGCCAUGCCGCGUGAAUGAUGGAGGUCUUAGGAUUGUAAAAUUCUUUUACCAGGGACGAUAAUGACGGUACCUGGAGAAAAAGCCCCGGCUAACUACGUGCCAGCCGCCGCAGUAAUAC
rnacentral:rRNA from 1 species